rnacentral:rRNA from 2 species
CAGUAGGGAAUCUUCCGCAAUGGACGAAAGUCUGACGGAGCAACGCCGCGUGAGUGAUGAAGGCUUUCGGGUCGUAAAACUCUGUUGUUAGGGAAGAACAAGUACAAGAGUAACUGCUUGUACCUUGACGGUACCUAACCAGAAAGCCACGGCUAACUACGUGCCAGCAGCCGCGGUAAUACGUAGGUGGCAAGCGUUAUCCGGAAUUAUUGGGCGUAAAGCGCGCGCAGGCGGUUUCUUAAGUCUGAUGUGAAAGCCCACGGCUCAACCGUGGAGGGUCAUUGGAAACUGGGGAACUUGAGUGCAGAAGAGAAAAGCGGAAUUCCACGUGUAGCGGUGAAAUGCGUAGAGAUGUGGAGGAACACCAGUGGCGAAGGCGGCUUUUUGGUCUGUAACUGACGUGAGC